UAAGGUGGGAUAGAUGAUUGGGGUGAAGUCGUAACAAGGUAGCCGUAUCGGAAGGUGCGGCUGGAUCACCUCCUUUCUAAGGAUAAGGAACUGCGCAUUGGUCUUGUUUAGUCUUGAGAGGUCUUGUGGGGCCUUAGCUCAGCUGGGAGAGCGCCUGCUUUGCACGCAGGAGGUCAGCGGUUCGAUCCCGCUAGGCUCCAUUGGUGAGAGAUNNNNNNNNNNNNNNNNNNNNNNNNNNNNNNNNNNNNNNNNNNNNNNNNNNNNNNNNNNNNNNNNNNNNNNNNNNNNNNNNNNNNNNNNNNNNNNNNNNNNNNNNNNNNNNNNNNNNNNNNNNNNNNNNNUACCUGUUACCCACAUCUGUUAAGGAUGUGAGGAGGAAGACGCAGUGAACUGAAACAUCUAAGUAGCUGCAGGAAGAGAAAGCAAAAGCGAUUGCCUUAGUAGCGGCGAGCGAAACGGCAGGAGGGCAAACCGAAGAGUUUACUCUUCGGGGUUGUAGGACUGCAAUGUGGACUCAAAGAUUAUAGAAGAAUGAUUUGGGAAGAUCAGCCAAAGAGAGUAAUAGCCUCGUAUUUUAAAUAGUCUUUGUACCUAGCAGUAUCCUGAGUACGGCGGGACACGUGAAAUCCCGUCGGAAUCUGGGAGGACCAUCUCCCAACCCUAAAUACUCCCUAGUGACCGAUAGUGAACCAGUACCGUGAGGGAAAGGUGAAAAGCACCCCGGGAGGGGAGUGAAAUAGAACCUGAAACCGUGUGCCUACAACAAGUUCGAGCCCGUUAAUGGGUGAGAGCGUGCCUUUUGUAGAAUGAACCGGCGAGUUACGUUAUGAUGCGAGGUUAAGUUGAAGAGACGGAGCCGUAGGGAAACCGAGUCUGAAUAGGGCGCCUUAGUAUCAUGACGUAGACCCGAAACCAUGUGACCUACCCAUGAGCAGGUUGAAGGUGCGGUAAGACGCACUGGAGGACCGAACCAGGGCACGUUGAAAAGUGCUUGGAUGACUUGUGGGUAGCGGAGAAAUUCCAAACGAACUUGGAGAUAGCUGGUUCUCUCCGAAAUAGCUUUAGGGCUAGCGUCGACAUUAGAGAUUCUUGGAGGUAGAGCACUGUUUGGGUGAGGGGUCCAUCCCGGAUUACCAAUCUCAGAUAAACUCCGAAUGCCAAUGAAUUAUGGUCGGCAGUCAGACUGCGAGUGCUAAGAUCCGUAGUCGAAAGGGAAACAGCCCAGACCACCAGCUAAGGUCCCAAAAUAAUUGUUAAGUGGAAAAGGAUGUGGGGUUGCACAGACAACUAGGAUGUUAGCUUAGAAGCAGCUAUUCAUUCAAAGAGUGCGUAAUAGCUCACUAGUCGAGUGACCCUGCGCCGAAAAUGUACCGGGGCUAAAACAAUUUACCGAAGCUGUGGAUACCUUUAUAGGUAUGGUAGGAGAGCGUUCUAUGUGUGAUGAAGGUAUACCGUGAGGAGUGCUGGAACGCAUAGAAGUGAGAAUGCCGGUAUGAGUAGCGAAAGACAGGUGAGAAUCCUGUCCACCGUAAGACUAAGGUUUCCAGGGGAAGGCUCGUCCGCCCUGGGUUAGUCGGGACCUAAGGAGAGACCGAAAGGUGUAUCCGAUGGACAACAGGUUGAUAUUCCUGUACUAGAGUAUGUAGUGAUGGAGGGACGCAGUAGGCUAACUAAAGCAGACGAUUGGAAGAGUCUGUCUAAGCAGUGAGGUGUGAAUUGAGUCAAAUGCUUAAUUCUAUAACAUUGAGCUGUGAUGGGGAGCGAAGUUUAGUAGCGAAGUUAGUGACGUCACACUGCCAAGAAAAGCUUCUAGCGUUUAAACAUACUCUACCCGUACCGCAAACCGACACAGGUAGUCGAGGCGAGUAGCCUCAGGUGAGCGAGAGAACUCUCGUUAAGGAACUCGGCAAAAUGACCCCGUAACUUCGGGAGAAGGGGUGCUGACUUUAAGUCAGCCGCAGUGAAUAGGCCCAAGCAACUGUUUAUCAAAAACACAGCUCUCUGCUAAAUCGUAAGAUGAUGUAUAGGGGGUGACGCCUGCCCGGUGCUGGAAGGUUAAGAGGAGUGCUUAGCGUAAGCGAAGGUAUGAAUUGAAGCCCCAGUAAACGGCGGCCGUAACUAUAACGGUCCUAAGGUAGCGAAAUUCCUUGUCGGGUAAGUUCCGACCCGCACGAAAGGCGUAAUGAUUUGGGCACUGUCUCAACGAGAGACUCGGUGAAAUUUUAGUACCUGUGAAGAUGCAGGUUACCCGCGACAGGACGGAAAGACCCCAUGGAGCUUUACUGCAGUUUGAUAUUGAGUGUCUGUACCACAUGUACAGGAUAGGUAGGAGUCUAAGAGAUCGGGACGCCAGUUUCGAAGGAGACGCUGUUGGGAUACUACCCUUGUGUUAUGGCCACUCUAACCCAGAUAGGUGAUCCCUAUCGGAGACAGUGUCUGACGGGCAGUUUGACUGGGGCGGUCGCCUCCUAAAAGGUAACGGAGGCGCCCAAAGGUUCCCUCAGAAUGGUUGGAAAUCAUUCGCAGAGUGUAAAGGUAUAAGGGAGCUUGACUGCGAGAGCUACAACUCGAGCAGGGACGAAAGUCGGGCUUAGUGAUCCGGUGGUUCCGUAUGGAAGGGCCAUCGCUCAACGGAUAAAAGCUACCCUGGGGAUAACAGGCUUAUCUCCCCCAAGAGUUCACAUCGACGGGGAGGUUUGGCACCUCGAUGUCGGCUCGUCGCAUCCUGGGGCUGUAGUCGGUCCCAAGGGUUGGGCUGUUCGCCCAUUAAAGCGGCACGCGAGCUGGGUUCAGAACGUCGUGAGACAGUUCGGUCCCUAUCCGUCGCGGGCGUAGGAAAUUUGAGAGGAUCUGCUCCUAGUACGAGAGGACCAGAGUGGACUUACCGCUGGUGUACCAGUUGUCUUGCCAAAGGCAUCGCUGGGUAGCUAUGUAGGGAAGGGAUAAACGCUGAAAGCAUCUAAGUGUGAAACCCACCUCAAGAUGAGAUUUCCCAUGAUUAUAUAUCAGUAAGAGCCCUGAGAGAUGAUCAGGUAGAUAGGUUAGAAGUGGAAGUGUGGCGACACAUGUAGCGGACUAAUACUAAUAGCUCGAGGACUUAUCCAA
rnacentral:rRNA from 1 species